AGUGAGCGCUGGCGGUAGGCCUAACACAUGCAAGUCGAACGGCAGCACAGUAAGAGCUUGCUCUUACGGGUGGCGAGUGGCGGACGGGUGAGGAAUACAUCGGAAUCUACUUUUUCGUGGGGGAUAACGUAGGGAAACUUACGCUAAUACCGCAUACGACCUACGGGUGAAGGCAGGGGAUCUUCGGACCUUGCGCGAUUGAAUGAGCCGAUGUCGGAUUAGCUAGUUGGCGGGGUAAAGGCCCACCAAGGCGACGAUCCGUAGCUGGUCUGAGAGGAUGAUCAGCCACACUGGAACUGAGACACGGUCCAGACUCCUACGGGAGGCAGCAGUGGGGAAUAUUGGACAAUGGGCGCAAGCCUGAUCCAGCCAUACCGCGUGGGUGAAGAAGGCCUUCGGGUUGUAAAGCCCUUUUGUUGGGAAAGAAAAGCAGCAGGUUAAUACCCCGCUGUUCUGACGGUACCCAAAGAAUAAGCACCGGCUAACUUCGUG
rnacentral:rRNA from 1 species